UUUUUUUAAAAAAGUGCAAAGUAAAAACUGGACAACGAAGGGAAAGAGUAUAUAUCUAAGCCAAUGUCUUUGUAUAUUCCUUUUAGGAUUGGGGCAUUAGGAUGAUAUAUUUGACAAAGGAGUGGGGAGAGGGGAAUAUAACAUACCAUGUGGAUGUCACAAUCUAGUUUAUGUCCCUUGUUAAUUAGCCCCACUAUCACCAACCAACCCAUGCUUGUGUGUAGCCACCACAUUAGCCCAUUCUCCUUUUGACACACAAAAGAUAUACUCUUCCCAAAAUAAGUUCAUCAAUUUUCAUCCACACCAAUCUUUUCAAUCAUUAACAUCAUUUAACAUGUUUUCAACUUAAAAUCAAAGAUUUUCAUGGNNNNNNNNNNNNNNNNNNNNNNNNNNNNNNNNNNNNNNNNNNNNNNNNNNNNNNNNNNNNNNNNNNCCCCUCCCCACACCCCCACAAAAGAAAAAAGAAAAAGCUUUAUUCUUCCAGCUAGCUAGCACCCUAUCUUUUCUUCCUCAUCAUCAUUCCACCACCAAUUGCUUAUCUUUUAUUCCAUUCUUCUCUCUUUCAUUUCAAACUCAUGAAAAUUGCUAAUUAGCACUAGCCAUUAUUGCAAAAAUAAAAUUAAAAAAUCUAACGAAACACUUCUCCUAAAUUUUUAGGAAACUAAAAGAUUGCAUUAAAUCUAGUCUUAAAAUUAAAUACCCUAUAACUUGGAAAUUCAUAUGAAAAGAAUACUAGCGGCAUUGAAGUAGAAAUUUAAACGGAAAGAAAGAGAGAAUAGUGUCUUAUUAAAGCUAAUGUUCAAAAUGUUACACAAUAGAGCAUGUAACAUUUGAUAAGUCUCCAACCAAACGUCCUCAAAUUCCUCACUCUUCCACACAAAAUCAACAAUACAAUGAGCUUAACAAAAUAAAUACACAAAUAAGUAAAUUAUUUGUAAUCUACAACAAUAUGAAAGCAAAUUAAAUGACCAAACUAAAUUUAAAACAAAAGUGCUACACUCCCAAGAAUUGCUACCAUAGCCAUGCUACUUCCAUGAACAAAACCACUAGACGGAGGAGGAGGAGUCAUUCCACCAUUCAUAGGUCCCGGUGCUGGCCCUGAUCCCAUGGGUGCCAUCCCGGGUGCCAUAGGGGCUGGUGGUGAGUCCAUUGGGCUCAUUGAUGGUGCCAUUGGACUCAUUGGGCUCAUUGAUGAUGCCAUUGGGCUCAUUGAUGGUGCCAUUGGGCUCAUUGGCGGUGCCAUUGGUGGUGGUGACAUGGUGGCCAUUGGUGGAGGAGUGGUGGUCAUUGGUGGCAUUGACAUGGUAGAUGGUGGCAUUGUGGGGGACAUCAUAGGAGAUUGAGCAGCAGAGAGAGCUACAAAUGUAAGUAAAAGGGAGAGAAAGAUCAUAGGACUACGUGAGAGAGCCAUGACUAUAUUGAUGAUGACUCUCUUAGGAUUUGUUUCUUUUAAGAAAAAUAGAGAAGAGAAUGUUUGAGCAGAAUGCACUCAAAGGUUGUCUUUGAGAAAGUUUGUAUUCUGCUGGUAUAUUGAAAGGUUUCAGGUCUAUCUAAUAUAUAGACAGGACAUAUAGUAGAAAGACUAAUUAAUUUCUAAGAUCUUUAUACAAAUAACCGGACACAUUUACGGUUUAUGUUUUUUUUAUCUACUAUAUAUAAA
rnacentral:lncRNA from 1 species